GCGCGUGGACGACCACGUCGCGCAUCAUCCACUCGCGGGGACGACCCUG
rnacentral:ncRNA from 1 species